rnacentral:lncRNA from 1 species
UCCUAUUUCCAUAUGGUAGUUGUCGUUAUGACCACCGAAUUUAAUUCCUCUACUCAACCAAUAUUAACUGGUAAUAUAGAGUAAGUACAGGAUCGUCCCACGAAGAAGCUUGCAACAAAUCUAUUUGAAGUGAUUUAAAAUUAAAGUAAUGUAAAAGCAUGCGAAAUAAAAAGGAAAAGUGGGGGGGUUUAUGUGUUACGAUUGAUAAAAAUAAUCUCAAAUAACAAAUAAGCUUUGGCUCGAAUUUAAACUGAUGAGAAGAAAAUAUCAAGAGAAGAAAAAUGCUUAGUUAUUGAUGCCUUAAUCCACCCAGCACAAGUCCUUUGAAACCUGAAAUUAAGAAAUCAAAUUAGCAGCAAGGCUGAAAAAAAAAUCGCUUACGAAGCAAUUCCUUAUCCCUAGUAAAUUGUUCAAUUAGAGAACGUUCAUGAUUGAAACCUUCCUUUAAUUAUCUCUGUGUCGACUUUGUUAAAGGAAUUUAAGAGAUUUAGAGGCUUCGCCUUGCCUUAACCAAAGAAAAUCCACCAGCGGUUUCUACGAUUAAAUCCGAAGUUGUUUUAAUUAGCUGCGGCAAAUUAAUUAUCACUAAUUCUAAGCUUAAUUGAGAAAUUCGAUUUCUCAAUUUGCACUUAACUGAUUAUAAGAAAAAUUCCCAAAUUAAUUAGGUGAUCACUCCAAUUGAGUUAGAAAAAUUCCUUGGAAAAUAAAACCAAACAACUCAAGAGUGCCGAAUUUGAUUUGAUAACAAAAUAAUUUUUUUCAAAGUACUAGUGCCCGGUUUCAGAAGUGUCGAACUAAGCUUAACUAAACUAGCCUCUCAUAGCUAGCAAAACAAAACACGAAUCCAUUGAAAAGAACAUGAAUUACAAACUGAUUCUUGGAAGGCAAAGUUCUUCAAGUCGUCCGAUUUCCCUUCUCCUAAUUAGCUGAAUUUUCUAGCUGCUACUCUAGCUCCUUGAUCGGAUUUGCUGGCCCAAUUUUUAGAAAAUUCUGCUUGCUUGAAUCACGCCUUUCCUAUGCUGCUGUUCUUUCUCUGAAUUUUUUUCUCUUCUCCCUUUUCUUCAGCUGCUAUCAUCUCUAUUUAUGGGAUAAUAACCUCUAAUCAAUUCAAAAAUUAAAAUCAAUCUUAUCCCCCUUUUCCUUAGCCUUACCCGUCGCAUGAAAAUAGCUUCAGCUUAGUAGAGUUUUAAUUCAACUCUUCAAUGCUGAUUUGGCUUCCAAUUGUUUAAACUAGAGUCGGCCACCGCUUGGCAUGAAGGAAAUAAUAAUUCCCUUCUUAAUUUUGUCGCAUGUUUGGCUUCCAAUUGGACCGACUGCUCCUCCAUUGUUUGUUUAAUUCAUUCGGCCUGCUGUUUUUUUAUUGGACCGAAUUUUU